UGCACGGCAUGGGCACCAAGGCGCUGGAGGAGAUCGGCGCCGGUGACCAGGGCCACAUGUUCGGCUACGCCACUGACGAGACCCCCGAGCUGAUGCCCCUGACCCACGUGCUGGCCACCCAGCUGGGCUACAAGCUGACUGAGGUCCGCAAGAACGGCGUCUGCCCGUGGCUGCGCCCUGACGGCAAGACCCAGGUGAGCUGCCUUUCGCUGAGGGCCAAGCGUUUUCUAUAAUGGCGGAGACUGCAAGGGCCAGGGUGGUUUCCCGACCUCCAUGGCGCUCAGCAAUGCUAGGCAUCGCGACCAUGAAUUCCCAUUUACUGUCUCCCCAAUCGGUGCUGCCAUCGCCUCCUGACAGGUCACCGUGGAGUACAAGCGCGAGGGCGGCGCCAUGAUUCCCCAGCGCGUGCACACCAUCCUGAUCUCGACCCAGCACAACCCCGAUGUGACCAACGAGAAGAUUCGUGAGGACCUGAUGGAGCACGUGAUCAAGCCCGUGGUGCCGGCCAAGUACCUGGACGACAAGACCAUCUUCCACCUGAACCCCUCGGGCCGUUUCGUGAUUGGUGGCCCCCACGGCGACGCCGGUCUGACUGGCCGCAAGAUCAUCAUCGACACCUACGGCGGCUGGGGUGCCCACGGUGGUGGCGCCUUCUCGGGCAAGGACCCGACCAAGGUCGACCGCUCGGGCGCCUACAUCGCCCGCCAGGCCGCUAAGUCCGUCGUUGCGUCGGGCCUGGCCAAGCGGUGAGUGGGUAGCAGCUGGCAACUGUUUGGAAUGGUCAUGGAACCGAAGGGCUAUGGCAAGCGGGCCAGGAUUGGUAUUGUCAUCGUCUGAUGUGCCAUACGAGUUUGGCCUAACCUCGUGUCCGCACCAUGGCUCUGUCUCCUCCGCGUAACCUCUUGUCCUCGCCAUGGUUCCGUCUCCUCCGCCCCUGCAGCUGCCUGGUCCAGGUGUCGUACUCGAUCGCUGUGGCUGAGCCCCUGUCGGUGUUCGUUGACACCUACGGCACCGGCACCAUGCCCGAUGCCGAGAUCCUGAAGCUGAUCCGGAAGCACUUCGACUUCCGCCCCGGUGAGAACUGCUGUUGUGAGGGCUUACCCAGACUCAUGCGGUUCUGCUGUGGAUUCAAGGCUUUGAUGCUGACUCGCAGUGAUGGGAAUCUGUGGGACACCUGCAUGCAGUCCAAAGCGCAGAUCGCAUUGUGCAGUUUGCCUUGAUGCGCUCCGGUUUCCACCCAUCGAUUUUCCCAUGCACAGGCCUCAUCGGCAAGAACCUGGACCUGAAGCGCGGUGGCAACAAGCGGUACCAGAAGACGGCCGCUUACGGCCACUUCGGCCGCGACGAUCCCGACUUCACCUGGGAGACCGUGAAGAAGCUGGAGUAAGCGCGCUGCGUGCGUGCGCUCUGUCUGAUGAAGGAGCAUGGGCGUAGUGC
rnacentral:lncRNA from 1 species